GCAAAUGUAGGUAUGAGUAACGAUAAGGGGGGCGAGAAACCCCCCCGCCGAAAGACUAAGGUUUCCUGAUCAACGCUAAUCGGAUCAGGGUCAGUCGGGUCCUAAGGCAAAGCCGAACGGCGACGCCGAUGGAAGAAUGGGUUAAUAUUCCGUUACUACCUCAUGGAGUGACGUGGAGACGCAGUAGUGACAGUCCUGCCGGCUGACGGAAUAGCCGGUUGAAGGGUGUAGAUAUUGAUUCCCGUAGGCAAAUCCGCGGGGAGAGUCGAACCUGAGAGUAUACGGAGCGCUUGCGCAGCGUAAUAUGGACGUAACCAUGCUCCCGAGAAAAUCCGCUAAACUUAUCCAUGCGGCACCCGUACCGUAAACGGACACACGUGGUCGGGUUGAGAAUACUGAGGCGCUCGAGUGACUCACGGUUAAGGAACUAGGCAAAUUGACCCUGUAACUUCGGGAUAAAGGGUCCUCGUCGUAAGGCGAGGCGCAGAGAAUAGGUCCAGGCAACUGUUUAACAAAAACACAUGGCUGUGCUAAAUGGAAACAUGACGUAUACAGCCUGACACCUGCCCGGUGCUGGAAGGUUAAGAGGAGAUGUCAUCGAUAAGAGAAGCGUUGAAUUGAAGCCCCAGUAAACGGCGGCCGUAACUAUAACGGUCCUAAGGUAGCGAAAUUCCUUGUCGGGUAAGUUCCGACCUGCACGAAUGGUGUAAUGAUCUGGACGCUGUCUCAACCGUGAGCUCAGUGAAAUUGUAGUAUCGGUGAAGAUGCCGAUUACCCGCGAUGGGACGAAAAGACCCCGUGAACCUUUACUAUAGCUUAUCAUUGAAUCUGGGCACGUGAUGUGUAGGAUAGGUCGGAGGCUUUGAAGCAGGUACGCCAGUAUUUGUGGAGCCGCUGUUGAAAUACGACCCUUUAUUUGUUUGGAUUCUAACCCGUGGAACGGGGACAUUGAUUGGUGGGUAGUUUGACUGGGGUGGUCGCCUCCAAAAGCGUAACGGAGGCUUCUAAAGGUGCCCUCAGACCGAUUGGUAACCGGUCGCAGAGUGUAAUGGCAUAAGGGCGCUUGACUGGGAGAGAUACAACUCGAUCAGGUAGGAAACUAGAGCAUAGUGAUCCGGUGGUUCCGCAUGGAAGGGCCAUCGCUCAAAGGAUAAAAGGUACUCCGGGGAUAACAGGCUGAUACCGCCCAAGAGUUCAUAUCGACGGCGGUGUUUGGCAC
rnacentral:rRNA from 1 species